rnacentral:rRNA from 1 species
GAUGAACGCUGGCGGCGUGCCUAAUACAUGCAAGUCGAGCGAACGGACGAGAAGCUUGCUUCUCUGAUGUUAGCGGCGGACGGGUGAGUAACACGUGGAUAACCUACCUAUAAGACUGGGAUAACUUCGGGAAACCGGAGCUAAUACCGGAUAAUAUUUUGAACCGCAUGGUUCAAUAGUGAAAGACGGUCUUGCUGUCACUUAUAGAUGGAUCCGCGCUGCAUUAGCUAGUUGGUAAGGUAACGGCUUACCAAGGCAACGAUGCAUAGCCGACCUGAGAGAGUGAUCGGCCACACGGGAACUGAGACACGGUCCAGACUCCUACGGGAGGCAGCAGUAGGGAAUCUUCCGCAAUGGGCGGAAGCCUGGCGGAGCAACGCCGCGUGAGUGAUGAAGGUCUUCGGAUCGUAAAACUCUGUUAUUAGGGAAGAACAUAUGUGUAAGUAACUGUGCACAUCUUGACGGUACCUAGUCAGAAAGCCACGGCUAACUACGUG